CUGUAGGGGGGAAGUCUGCCAAUGGACGAAAGACAUCUGGCUGCUUAUUUUGAGUGGCCAUUUCUGAAUGAUCAUUAGCAAAAGAUGGAGUUUUAUUUUGGCUUAAUAGCAAAAAAAACCAAACCUUUACUACUUAUUGCAAUUAUAUCCCAACCUUUUAAUUUUUACAAUAAUAUCCAAAUUGCAUUAUUUUGUUGCAAUAAUAUCCAAAUUGCACUUUUUAUGUAAUUUUUUUUGAGUUUUUUGCCAUUUUUUGGGACUUUAUUAUACUUUUAUACAUCAAAACAUAAUAAUAGCGUAAUAUCUUAAUUGAAAACAAAAAGUUUAGCCAUCAAUUUGACUAUUAUUACUACAAAAAAUGCAAUUUGGAUAUUAUUGCAACAAAAAAAUGCAAUUUGAAUAUUAUUGCAAAAAUUAAAAGAUUUGGAUAUAAUUGCAACAAGUUGUAAAAGUUUGGUUAUUUUUACCAUUAGGCCUUUUAUUUUUGGUAGGAGUUUGUUAUAUUUUUCUAUGGACAGAUCUAUAUUUAUUUUGAAGAAAGAGAUUUUAAGAAUUGUCCAACAUAUUGGUUGAAUAUUAAGCAAAUGAAGUUGUGGAAAUAAAAAAGUUGAAGAUAAUUUUA